rnacentral:rRNA from 1 species
UACGGAGGAUGCGAGCGUUAUCCGGAUUUAUUGGGUUUAAAGGGUGCGCAGGCGGUCUGUUAAGUCAGCGGUCAAAGCCCGGGGCUCAACCCCGGCCCGCCGUUGAAACUGGCAGUCUCGAGUUGGAGAGAAGUAUGCGGAAUGCGCGGUGUAGCGGUGAAAUGCAUAGAUAUCGCGCAGAACUCCGAUUGCGAAGGCAGCAUGCCGGCUCCACACUGACGCUGAGGCACGAAGGCGUGGGUAUCGAACAGG